rnacentral:rRNA from 1 species
UACGUAGGUGACAAGCGUUGUCCGGAUUUACUGGGCGUAAAGAGCGCGCAGGCGGUCGAUCAAGUCGAGUGUGAAAGCCCCCGGCUCAACUGGGGGAGGGUCAUCGUACUGAUCGACUCGAAGGCAGGAGAGGGUAGUGGAAUUCCCGGUGUAGUGGUGAAAUGCGUAGAUAUCGGGAGACACCAGUGGCGAAGGCGACUACCUGGCCUGUUCUGACGCUGAGCGCGAAGCUA